UUUUAAUUUGGGUUAGAGUUUAAUGUUAAACGCGAAUUAACCUGUGUCGGCCUGCCCUGUAGCAUCAUAGAUAUCAUAUAGAAGACUAGAUGCCCUAUUGGCCGCUGGGGACUGAGAAAUACGGCGGCCAUCUUAAACCGGUCGUUCUCCUAGUUUCGUUGCAUGGCAGCAGAUAAGAUGUCAGAGCACUGUGGAGCAUUUUCCUGUUCUAAUCUGCGGACGAUCGCAAAUAGAGGCCGGAGGAUUAUUUUCACAAGUACUUUUUAACAUCGCGGUACUAUUGGUUGUAUUUUGUGAAUAGAAUAUUAACAGAAAAUUGAGAAAGAGCCAGCUUAUUGAUUUUACUGUACUGAAAUCGUAGCCAGCUAACGUUCGCUAGGCUAUGUUUACUGCACCAGCCGCUGUUCACCCUGCAAGGAGAGUGGGGUGCUGUGAGCUGCGUGAUCCGCCGAGCUUUAAAAAGCUGAGAUGUCAACAGGAACAGAGGAUGUUUUCCUUCGUAGGGAGGACAUUGAGGAGACUCGGUUUGGAAUCGACAACCAUCAGUCUGACUCGUUGUCACUGGUUGUGUCUGUGUUUUUAAAGAUAAGGCUCCACCAUGUUGCCAAACUCACCUCUCUUGAACUACAGAAAGGGAGCACGGGAAAGAAGCUCUGGAAAACAGUCCUCUUUCAGGGGUGUGUGUGUGUGUGUGUGUGUGCGUGUGUGUGCGUGUGUGUGCGUGCGCGCGCGCGUGUGUGUGGGGGGGUUUACAAAUCAUUUUAAAUUGUUUCUUCACCAUAUUAAAAAGUCUUAUUUUAUUGCAACUAUCUGUUUCUGCAUCUUUGUCAUAUUUAUAGUGUGUGAUUUAUAAAAUAUCUUAUGUCCUACACCA